rnacentral:rRNA from 1 species
UGGGGAAUCUUGCACAAUGGGGGAAACCCUGAUGCAGCGACGCCGCGUGAGCGAUGAAGGUUUUCGAAUCGUAAAGCUCUGUCCUAGGGGAAGAUAAUGACGGUACCAUGGGAGGAAGCCCCGGCUAACUACGUGCCAGCAGCCGCGGUAAUACGUAGGGGGCGAGCGUUGUCCGGAAUUACUGGGCGUAAAGGGUUCGCAGGCGGCAUGGCAAGUCCGAUGUAAAAGGCGAAGGCUCAACCUUCGUAAGCAUCGGAAACUGUCAAGCUUGAGUGAAGGAGAGGCAAGUGGAAUUCCUAGUGUAGCGGUGGAAUGCGUAGAUAUUAGGAGGAAUACCGGUGGCGAAGGCGACUUGCUGGACUUCAACUGACGCUGAGGAACGAAAGCGUGGGUAGCAAACAGG